UAAAACUAAGCAUGGAUGUUGAUGGCUAAC
rnacentral:piRNA from 2 species